GAUGAACGCUGGCGGCGUGCCUAAUACAUGCAAGUCGAGCGAACAGACGAGGAGCUUGCUCCCCUGACGUUAGCGGCGGACGGGUGAGUAACACGUGGAUAACCUACCUAUAAGACUGGGAUAACUUCGGGAAACCGGAGCUAAUACCGGAUAAUAUAUUGAACCGCAUGGUUCAAUAGUGAAAGACGGUUUUGCUGUCACUUAUAGAUGGAUCCGCGCCGCAUUAGCUAGUUGGUAAGGUAACGGCUUACCAAGGCAACGAUGCGUAGCCGACCUGAGAGGGUGAUCGGCCACACUGGAACUGAGACACGGUCCAGACUCCUACGGGAGGCAGCAGUAGGGAAUCUUCCGCAAUGGGCGAAAGCUUGACGGAGCAACGCCGCGUGAGUGAUGAAGGGCUUCGGAUCGUAAAACGCUGUUAUUAGGGAAGAACAAAUGUGUAAGUAACUAUGCACGUCUUGACGGUACCUAAUCAGAAAGCCACGGCUAACUACGU
rnacentral:rRNA from 1 species